CACCCAGCCACUAGCCCAGGGAAAAGCCUGGCCAGAGAUAAGCAUGGCUCACCACCUUUGUGGAAAUGGCCCUGGCAUCCUGGACAUCUCAAGGAAGAGGCUGUGCCACCCGGCUCAAGUAGCUAGUCAUAGGGAGAUCCCACUCAUGGGGCAGCAGCUAGCAUAGUCUAUGACCAGAGUCCCAUCACGGUCAGGGUUCCUUGUGUUGGCAGAUGUGGUGGCUUCAAGUUUUGCCAAGUUGAGACAUCCACUUCCAACUUCAGGUCAUAUUCAAGAGAGCUGGUUAAGCACUUACCAGGAGAACCCUGUCUCCACUCCACAUCAAUCCAUACCAUUAUGGCCACAUCCAAGACCAUAUCAUCACAAGACGUCCAAUAUUUUGAACUGAGAACACUACCUUUCUAACCACAAUCUCCUUAUCUAUCUCUCUUGGUCUCAAGCUGUAGAGCUGCCAUAUAACCCCCACUGCUUGGUCCAAGAAUUCCUUGGUGCUCUACCCAGAAGUUCACUGCAUCUGCCUGUCAUAUGCUGCUUGGGUGUGUGGUCCCCAUUGUUCCUACCUUCUGGGGAAAUGUCAAAUGUGAGAAAAACAGAUCAGAUACUCAAUUUCAUCAGAAGUAAAGCCAAAACAGAGUCAUAUAAUCCCAGGAAAAAAUGGACCCAAUUCAAUCAGAAACAGAGUUAAAAAAUAUCAUGUUAGGUCUAGAUAAAAGAAAGAAGUCCACAAAUGAAAGUGGAUUAGAAAGAAAGCAAAGUUUAAAGAAUGACAAAAGGAGCUUCGAAUUUCUUCAGGCUCUAAAAGAAGAAGUUGAAACAACCUCAAAUGUGUCUCUUUCUCGACAUGUUUCCUUUAAUAUUUCACAUCAGUCUUCACAAUCACCCUCAAGUCGACAUGAACUAAACAGAGAUAAUACUGAAGAAAAUAUUAGCUUGGAUGAUAAUAAGAGAAAGCAUUGGGAAAAGAAAAAGUGCAAGGAAAGAACAGGCGAGAAGAAUGAAGAAAAUAAAGAGGGUGAGCUUGUUAUUAAGAAUACAUAUAUAGAAGAUAAUUCUUGUAGACCACUUCCUAAAAGCAUAUUACUACUUCAAGGGUUCCAGAAAAAAAUGAUGAGUAGGGGAAAGUUUGAGCUUUUAUUAAGGAAUAUAACUGACAUUCCAAUCAAUGCCAAUGACAAUAAAAGAACACAAAACAGGUAUAUUAAUAGAAUUGCUAAAAAAAACCCAUCAAGUGAAGAGAUUAUAGAGUAUGAAGAUCAAGAUCCUCCUUAUUCACCAAUAUGAUUGUGUUUAACACAUUCCCCAAAGAGCACCAAAUAUCACAGCAUAAAGGGGACUUGGAUUGGGCACCAAAUAUCACAGGAUAAAAGGGGACUUGGACUGGGAAACACCAGUCAGGACUCUUCAGAUAAUAAAAAAGAAGAUUUACCUUUAACCUUGUUUAAGCAUCUUGAAAAAGCCAAAGCACGAGAGCAAGGUUUGAUUUGGGAAGAAGCCCAGAUGAUAGCUAGUACUGAUUUUAAAACCUUACUGCUCCAAAGUUUAACAAAUAAUUAAAAGAAAGCUUUGGGAAAUUUACAACCCUUUGGGUAAAGCAGGCUUGCUUAUUUCAUAUAAAUAUUAAAAACUCAGGCUUAGAGGAAUAUAAUCAGAAAAAAAGACCUAAAAAAUCUUGAAAAAUGUUCAAUCAUUUAUGAUAUUCUACAGUUGUUAAAUAGUUCAUAUCCAAAAUGCAAACAUAAGGAUGAUUAUUAAGUAUAUUAUGAAUCUCCUACUAAUGAAAUAUAUCAGACAGUUCUCUUAUUUAGCAGCCCACUACAAAAUUUCAUCUUGUUAAAGUUGUUCUCACUGAAAUACAAAAUAAACAUGGUGCAUUAAAAAAGAAAAGAAAAGAAAAGAAAGAGCCAUCCGUGAAUUAAUAUGCCUCCAGAGUACGCAAAACAUUUCCAUAUCUUAGACCCAUAGAGAUUUCUUCAUGGUCAAAAAAGGAGUCCCAUUAGGCAACAUGAACUCCUGAAAACCUUUCUCUCACUCUUCUCCACUGAAGCUACCCAGACCUCAGUCCUAGAGAGACAGGCAAAAACCAAGUAAGGAGAACAACAAUGUGGUUGUAACUACAGAAAAGCAAGACAAGGGUCAACCGUGCCAGCUCCAGAAUAAUUUAUACGCUAGAUCUAGAUGCCAGGGGCAUGAUGGGAAUUGAAAGUUUAUUCUCCCCAGCGUAAAUACAGUGUGGGUCUGGAGAAUUCUAACUAAAGGAGAAUGAGUAUGUCAAAAAGACAGUUCAACCAAAAAUACUUUGUUUCUGCUAAAAUAGCAGAGCAUGGCUGCUCAGGCAUUUCCCCCCUCAAAAAAUUCCUCUUGUGAGGUUAUCCAAGACCCUUGCUUUGUAUCCAGUCCACCAAAGAAAGUUAAAAUAUGCCGAUAGCCCUAAAUAAAAAUGUUUUGGCCAAGGCAAACUCACCAAAUAAGACUGAAGGAAGGGAAAACACCGGUAGCUGAAGAAAUCUCCAGUAGAUGGCAGUGUUUCAGCAGAGUGGCCACAUCACCACAUAACUUUUCUGGGAUGGAAUAAGAGCAACUUUGUAAGCAAUGGGGACCAUCUGCGAGGCAAAAUGAAGAAAGCUGUGCUGGUAAAUAGAGCAUUAACGUUAUGACAUCCAGAAUGUAAUCGUGAUAUUCUUAGGUUUACAAGUUGUUCCAGGACCGUCCCCUUCUCAAUUCUGACUUAGAAAUCUGGAAAUAUUACAUCCUUUUUGUACAGUGGGAGAGGAGGAAUUUUUCCUUAUUAUUUACCACACCUAUUUUGCUAAAUACUUUUUCUUUGAAUCCAUGAAUGAUCUGGAAAAAAACACAACACUGGAGGGAUUUUGUGAACUAUAUAGAUAGAUGCUAAGUCCAAGAGAGUGUCUUGAAUCUGGAUAUAACUGUCAAGGAACUGUAUUGAAGGAGUCAUCUUGAAGGAGUCAUGUUGGGGGAACCCCAGGACAUGAACAUAAAAACUUGCUGGUAUCCAGAAGGGGAGGAAAAAACACCUGGUCCAAAUGGGGCAUGACUGAGCUUGUUUUUCAAAUAUUUCAAGAAUAAUUUCAAUAUUAUAUAGAUUACUUAUAAAUAUAGGGGAAGAUGGAAUAAAACCCAGUAAUGUUUGAGUCAAAUGUGAUAUUGGUAUUAAAAAUAUGGUAAGAUAACUCUAAAUAAGAAAAUUAUGCACCAAUUCUUCUAAUGAAUGUAUCUACAGAAAUACUAAACUAUUCGUGAAUUGAAUACAGCAAUGCAGUUUUUAAAAAAUAAUUUUUUCAUGAUCAAACAACUUUAUAAUAAGCAUGAAAAGCUCAUUUGAUGCUAGAAAACUACUGUCACAAUACAACAUGAAUUAAAAGACUCCUCCAAAUAUAUGAUUAUAUCAAUAGACAUGCAGAAAAAGCCUUUAAUAAAAAUCUUAACAUUCAGUAUUUCUGAUACAAACAAUAGAAAGAAAGGGUAUAGAAAGGUUUAUUCCCUCAAUACAAUAACAGCAUCUACUUUAAAGUAAGAGCCACUAUAGUAUGCAAUGGAGAAACAUCAGUCAUUAAAUGAAAAGAAAAACAUUAAGCACCCAUUUUGUGCCAGAUACUGUGUGACAGGUAGAGAAGAGAAGAAAAAGAGUAAACAAUCCCUACCUCCAAGUGCGUAGGUAUUGUCCCUUGGAUGACAAAAUAUACAUAUACUGUAUUUGUAAAUGCAGAACAAAUACAGUGUAAUAGAAGGUAAAGUACUAGCAGCUAUGUUUGUGCUAGGAUAGGAAUCAAGAAAGGACUUCCACAAUGUCCCCCGAGUCUUUUUUAAACCCUUUCUUUCUGAUUUAGUAUCAGUUCUAAGACAGAAGAGAGCAAGGGCUAGGUGCUCUAUCCCCUGUGAUACCUAGUUGCUCCUUGCCCUGAAUCUUAAAGGAGCCUCAGUAUUCAGUGAGAUGGAGUUAAGUGUGAAGGGCAGAAAGGAAAUGAAAUGCUCCGUACGAAAGUCAUUUGGGUAGACAAAGGCAUAAUGUGACUGGGGUUUCAAAUGCCCAAUGGCAAAGUCUAUCCCCAUUUUCCAGAUGAGGAAACCAAAGCUCGGAAAAAGUGAGUGCUUACAUUUUUUUUCUUGUUUACUACUGAUUCAUAUGGCAUUAGUCUUAUUUCUACAAAAUGGUACAGUAGGGAAAAAAAAACAACAAACUCCUGGAGUCAGAGGAUGUGGGUUUAAAUCAUAACUCUGACACUACAUUUGUGACCUUGGGUAAGUCAUGACUUCCUUGGACUUUCAUUUCCUCAUCUGUAAAAGAAAGGUCAAACUGGGCUUAGAUACCGUCCGAGGUCCCUUCCAUCUCCAGAUGGGUAAUCCCUUGAUUCUAUAACUAGAUUGUAGCUUCCAUUAGAGCUGCUAACAUAGAUUAUAACAUUCCCCCUGAACUAGGACAUUGUAUGGAUGCUAUAGGUAUUCACUGACUGACUGAUUUAUUCAAGCAAAGUCUUAGAAAAUUUUCCUCCACUAUUAGGUAGUGGGGAAUGGAUAAUUUAUGUAGGCUGAAGUCUUUUAAAAACACUAACAAGCCAAUGGACUCCAUAGAAAAUACUACCAGACAGUGUUGUUUUGGAAAAUGUUUAAUAACUGGCUGCAUGGGAAAAAAUAAAAAAUAAAACAAUCCCUGCUCUCAAAGAGAUGAUAUUAUAAGAGUGGGGGUGGGUAAAGACAUGGAUCUAUAUAUAAGUAUAAACAGAAUGAUGAAAGGAUUAUUAUCCCCCUCCAAAUGUUGGCAGCUUGCCUCUUGAUACUUUGUGCUUCUUUUGUAUGUAUAUAAAUACAUGUUUUCUCCCUUUAUCCCAUCCCCAAGACUGUAAGCUCCAUGAGGGCAGAAAUUGUUUCAUCCUUUAUGUUCCCAGGACUUAGCACAGUGAUUGUUAAGUCAACAAUUUAAUAAUAUUUAAUAAGCAUCUAGGCAUUGUGCUAGGCUCUGGGCAUAUAAAAAAAAGACAUAGGCACUUAAUAAAAACCUGUUUUUCUAUGGACAGACAGUUCUUUAUCCAUCUGUGGUUUUUCUACUUUCCUUAUUUCUUUGGCCAAAUUUGCUUCCUUACCUUAUAAUUAUAAAAUAUCUAUAGCAGCUCUUUUUGUAGUGGCAAAGAAUUGGAACUUGAGGGGAUGUCAAUCAAUUGGGGAAUGGCUGAAGAAACUGGUAUAUGAUGGUGAUGAAAUACUAUUGUGCAAUAAGAAAUGAUAAGCAGGAUGACUUCAGAAAAAGCUGGAAAGAUCUACAAGAACUGAUCUAAACUGAAAUAGUACAUGGAGAGUACACAGUAACAGCGAUAUUGUAUGAUGAUCAACUGUGAAAAUUCGGCUACUUUCAGCACUGCAAUGAUCUGGGACAAUCCUGAAAGAUUUAUGAUAGGAAAUACUUUCCACUUCCAGAGCAAGAACUGUUAGAUGGAUGAGGAUCAAAGGAUCAAAGCAUAUUAUCUUUCACAUCGGUGUGUUUAAUAUUUUAUUUUGGGGUUUUGGUUUUGAAUAUGUGUGUACUCUUACAACAAUGACCAAUAUGGAAGUGUAUUUUACAUAAAUAAUUAAAGGGAAAAAAUUUUAAACCCUUGUAAUUAUCAACUACCACCAGGUGUCCCUCCUCUCCCAUUAGUCAGCAUUGAUUCUAGUUAAUUAUAAGCUAUUAGCAACUUAAAUAGUCCGUGGUUUAUAUUCCAUAUAUCAUAUGGAAUUAUAUUCCAUAGUAUUAUAUAAGUGGCAAAGUACAGAAAAGAUUUACCAUGGAAAAUAUAUAGUCCCUUAAUUGUAGGGAAAUUGGGUUCUAUCAAGGAAAGGACAGUUUUCUAAAUUGCUCCAACCCUCCCCCAAAUUAUUUUUCCUUAUUUGUUAUUUUUUAAACUUUAAUUUGUCCUAGAAUGAGAGGAAAGGGAAAUGGAAUAAAAUAAUCAAAGGAAAAAGAAGAAAACAAAAAAUGUAGACAACUACAACAAAGAAAAUUAAUUAGGGAAUAAAGAUAAAAUAGAAAGGAGUUAAACAUUGGCCUAAGGAAGCCCAGCUAAGAUUAAGGGGAAGUAAAUGAGGCCUCUCUGCUCAAACUCAUUUUCUUUUGAUUAUCCUCACACUCAUCUGAAUAAAUGAAAAUUUCCUGUGUUAGAAUUACCCUACUAUGGAAAGAACUUAAGGUGUUUCUUUCAUCUUCAUUAUGUAAAAUGAAGGGAAAUAAGAUGUUUCCUUCCAUAUGCAGUGAAAGUACCCACUACAAGAAGUUACCUAAUAGCCUUUUGUGAAAAAGCACAAACAUUUAUGUCCCAGGGCAUCUGUCCUAGAGCUCCAAAUGAAUUGAAUCAAUGAGAUCUAAUAAGACAGUGAAGGAACUUUCACUGAAAACAAUUUCCUUAACCAGCCUCCCUGUUUCUAUCCAUGGGGCCCCCAUUCAGCAGCUACUCUUGAAAUUUUGGAGCUCUAAUUGGCCCUAUUUGCCCCUACUGCAUCCUACACAUGAAAUCAUUUUCCAGUUAAAAUAUUUCUUGCGUCCAACCCUUCUCUGUUACCAUUGCUACCUUCCUAGCCCAGGUCUUCAUCACCUCAUGCCUCAGUAAUUGAUAAUGUUGUGGGGAAAUCACAGGAUCUCACCCCAAGAAUGGAAGGUUCAAAACUCCAAAGUCUCUAUUUGAAGAAAAAGAGGUUUAGGGCAAUAAGGGUUUUUCCCACAACAAUAGGGUCAUAUGGUUAGAGCUCAAAAGGUUCUUAAAGGCCAUGGGAUCGAAAUUUAUUUUACAGAUGAAGAAACUAAGCCACAGAGACCCUAAAUAGCUUGCCUAGGACCAUAUAGCUAGUAAGAGUCUAAGACAGGUUUUAGUACUUAGAACUUCCAGACUCUACACCCAGUACACUAACCAUUAUUCUAUCUGUUUUCUAUUUAAUAAUGAUCCUAUUUUUUUCCAUUCCUAGCUUAUGUCAAUCCAUCAAUGCUGCCCUGCUAAACUCCCUUAACCUUUGUAUAGAUUUCAGAAUUGUAAUAUGUAAGACCUGAAAGGAACCUUUCAUAGUCUGCAUCACAUGAAUGGAAUUCUCUCUCUGUUCACUUCCACUCUUGGAAUCCAUGAAGCCCUGAAAAACUCAGUUCAGGGUUGCCUACUACAUAAGGCCAUUCCUGAUGCUUGGCCCCUUCCCUAGUUCAGUUACCUAUGAGAAAUGUUCUGGAGGAUGAUAUCCAUUGACUAAACUAACCAUGUAUUCUUUCCAAAGGAGGUCACCCUCAGGAUCUGGUUGGACCAAAGAGAGUUGAUGUUCCUGAGGUCUUCUGGAAUCCCUACUGCCUUGAAGAAUGUCGAGGCUGUUUAUCAUUAGUCUGAGUACGAUGUUUUGCAAAGUCUACCCAAUCAGACUACAGAUGUUUCAUCUUUGGGUGCAAUAAGAAUAAAUCAGAAUGACUGAAGGCACUAGAAGAUCCUCCUCAACCAAGAAGGGGAACGUGAACAAGGGUUUAUUAAGUGCCCAUGAUGUGCCAGAUACUCCUUGGUGUUUUAUAAAUCUUUUGUCAUUUUGUCUUCACAAUAA